AUUGAACGCUGGCGGCAGGCCUAACACAUGCAAGUCGAACGAGUGGCGGACGGGUGAGUAAUGUCUGGGAAACUGCCUGAUGGAGGGGGAUAACUUCUGGAAAAGGUAGCUAAUACCGCAUACUAUCGGAUGUGCUCAGAUGGGAUUAGCUAGUUGGUGGGGUAAAGGCCCACCUAGGCGACGAUCCCUAGCUGGUCUGAGAGGAUGAUCAGCCACACUGUAACUGAGACACGGUCCAGACUCCUACGGGAGGCAGCAGUGGGGAAUAUUGCACAAUGGGCGCAAGCCUGAUGCAGCCAUGCCGCGUGUAUGAAGAAGGCCUUCGGAUUGUAAAGUACUUGCAGCGUGUAGGCGUUACCCGCAGAAGAAGCACCGGCUAACUCCGUGCCAGCAGCCGCGGUAAUAC
rnacentral:rRNA from 1 species